CUUGAUUUAAUGUCUAUACAAUUAAGGCACGCGGUGAAUGCCAAGAGAGGUGCUUCUAAUCUGCUAAUGGGGAGGCCCGAGGCCCAGGCUGUGGGAUAGGUUGAGAAUCCACGCUGCCCCCUUUGUGUCCCCCAAAGCUUUGUCUUUUCUUCAACUUAAAUUACUAUGAUCUCUAGAAAUACAAUCCCAGAACUGAUUUAGCACAGUAAAAAAACAAAACAAAAAAACACUAAGAACAAAAGACUACUUAAAGGAUCAACAUUUGUGUGAUCUUGUAUGUGUAGCACAGUUCCACAUUGUACCAUACUAAAAAACCCAACCAUUAUAAUUGGCAUUACCUGGAGGCACAGCAUGUGCCUUCUGUAGCAGGCAGAUAGUUCCUGCUCUUCCUCCCCAAUAUUAUGGGAGUUUGAUCCACAGAAGGCUGGGGUCAGAGUACAGACCAUUGGGGAGAAUGGGAAGCCCCCGUGAAACGCGUGACCGAUUACUCUCUGUAUAACCAUAGCAAAUAAGUUUGGUUACAUAUAUGUGUGUUUAUUACUCCAUUUCUUUCUUUACCCUUCUCAGCACGAAGUGACUGAUGUCCUGGUCAUUAAAGGUGAGCACUGAGCAGUCCAAGCGUGGCCCCUGGGUGCAUAUACUGAAUAGAAGUCCAAAUCAAGUAAAUGUGGGAAGUGUACGAGCAAGCAAUGCAUCUAUAUGUAUACUGGAGGGGCCUAAUGGCCGCAUAGGGGAAAAUAUAGAGCAAUAUUGAAGUCUACACUGUGUGUAUGAUUAAAGGGAAGUUGGUCAAAUUCUGUUGGUAUGGCAAUGUGUGUGAAUUAAUGAGUAUUGCUACACUGUAGGAGGCGAUGCGUGUGAAUUAAUGAGUAUUGCUACACUGUAGGAGGCGAUUCGUGUGAAUUAAUGAGUAUUGCUACACUGUAGUCGGCGAUGCGUGUGAAUUAAUGAGUAUUGCUACACUGUAGGAGGCGAUGCGUGUGAAUUAAUGAGUAUUGCUACACUGUAGGAGGCGAUGCGUGUGAAUUAAUGAGUAUUGCUACACUGUAGGAGGCGAUGCGUGUGAAUUAAUGAGUAUUGCUACACUGUAGGAGGCGAUGCGUGUGAAUUAAUGAGUAUUGCUACACUGUAGGAGGCGAUGCGUGUGAAUUAAUGAGUAUUGCUACACUGUAUGAGGCGAUGCGUGUGAAUUAAUGAGUAUUGCUACACUGUAGGAGGCAAUGCGUGUAAAUUAGUGAGUAUAGCUACAUUGUAGGAGGAGAUAUGUGUGAAUUAGUGAGUAUAGCUACAUUGUAGGAGGCGAUAUGUGUGAAUUAGUGAGUAUAGCUACAUUGUAGGAGGAGAUAUGUGUGAAUUAGUGAGUAUAGCUACAUUGUAGGAGGCUAUGUGUGUGAAUUAGUGAGUAUAGCUACAUUGUAGGAGGCGAUAUGUGAAUUAGUGAGUAUAGCUACAUUGUAGCAGGCGAUAUGUGAAUUAGUGAGUAUAGCUACAUUGUAUAGCAUGAAUGAUGGCUGUAGAAUUGUGUAAACGAAAAUGAGUGUAAAACGAGGGAAAUAAACAGGCAGUAGAGAGCAGAUGGACUUGUGGUGAAGAUCGCGAGUAGAGUUCUAGUGGAGGCAGCAUUGAGUGAGUAGAUUUGUGGUGGAGGCACUGGUGAGCAGAUACAGUUGUGAUGGAGGCAGUGAGAGCAGGUAGACUUGUGGUGAAGAUCGUGAGUAGAGUUCUAGUGGAGGCAGCAUUGAGUGAGUAGAGUUUAGAUGAAGGCAGCAGUGAGUGAGUAGAUUUGUGGUGGAGGCAGUGGUGAGCAGAUACAUUUGUAAUAGAGGUAGUAUAGAGCGGAUACAGUUGUGAUGAAGACCAUGAGUUUGUGAUGGAGGAAGUAGUGAGCGGAUAGAGUUGUGAUGGAGGCAGCUGUGAGUGGAUAGAGUUGUGGUGGAGGCAGCGGUGAGCAGAUAGAGUUGUGAUGGAGGCAGUGGUCAGCUGAUAGAGUUGUGGUGGAGGCAGCAGUGAGCAGAUAGAGUUGUGAUGGAGGUAGUGGUGAGCAGAUAGAGUUGUGGUGGAGGCAGCGGUGAGCAGGUAGAGUUGUGGUGGAGGCAGCAUUGAGCGAGUAGAAUAAUGAUGGAGACAGCAGUAAGUGAGUAGAUUUUUGGUGGAGGCAGUGGUGAGCAGAUACAUUUGUAAUAGAGGUAGUAUAGAGCGGAUACAGUUGUGAUGAAGACCAUGAGUUUGUGAUGGAGGCAGUAGUGAGCGGAUAGAGUUGUGAUGGAGGCAGCUGUGAGUGGAUAGAGUUGUGGUGGAGGCAGCGGUGAGCAGAUAGAGUUGUGAUGGAGGCAGUGGUGAGCAGAUAGAGUUGUGGUGGAGGCAGCAUUGAGCUAGUAGAAUAAUGAUGGAGACAGCAGUAAGUGAGUAGAUUUUUGGUGGAGGCAGUGGUGAGCAGAUACAUUUGUAAUAGAGGUAGUAUAGAGCGGAUACAGUUGUGAUGAAGACCAUGAGUUUGUGAUGGAGGCAGUAGUGAGCAGAUAGAGUUGUGAUGGAGGCAGUGGUGAGCAGAUAGAGUUGUGAUAGAGGCAGCGGUGAGCAGAUAGAGUUGUGAUGGAGGCAGUGGUGAGCAGAUAGAGUUGUGGUGGAGGCAGCGGUGAGCAGGUAGAGUUGUGGUGGAGGCAGCGGUGAGCAGGUAGAGUUGUGAUAGAGGCAGUGGUGAGCAGAUAGAGUUGUGAUAGAGGCAGUGGUGAGCAGAUAGAGUUGUGGUGGAGGCAGCGGUGAGCAGGUAGAGUUGUAGUGGAGGCAGCGGUGAGCAGGUAGAGUUGUGGCGGAGGCAGCAUUGAGUGAGUAGAGUUGUGGUGGAGGCAGUGGUGAGCAGAUAGAGUUGUGAUGGAGGCAGUGGUGAGCAGAUAGAGUUGUGGUGGAGGCAGCGGUGAGCAGGUAGAGUUGUGGUGGAGGCAGCGGUGAGCAGGUUGAGUUGUGGUGGAGGCAGUAGUUGUAUGUUUAGGAGGCAGGUUUAUGUGUAUUAUCUGAUUUGGGGUUACGUGUUUGGGAUUUGGGGUUAGACUGGAGCAAAGGAGAUAUUUCAAUGAAUACAUUUAUGUAAAGGAUGAAUGUUGACGUUUGGACAAGCAGUGUGUGCAUUUGGCAUGAGACAUGAAUGGGUCAGGUAUUUUUUAUGUUAUCAGCAUUUGGCGUCCAUUAUAGUGUAGUGUUAGUUAACGCUAGAACACCUAUAUUUCCUGUUUUCUCCUAGUAGAGAUUUUUUACCUCUAUCUAAACUUAUUUAAUGGAUAUUGCUCUCUGACCAAGACUGAAAGCCAGCUGGGUUAAAUAACGGGGUGCACUCGAGAAUUGCAGGGGCUCUCUGUGUCUUUAAUUUACUGGAAUGAUGCCUCUUACUGCCUCCCAUUCCACCCACACUGACAUAAUAACCAUGAUGACACACUGCACACUCCACUGGCAGCAACUUAAUAAGGACCAGCAAUUGUCAGCCUGGUCUCACAUUAUUUUGCUUUGCACUGACAGGGGUUGGAGGGCUCAGCUGAUAUCCCCCCUCUUCUAUGGUUCUUAGUAUGAUCCACUCCUACCGCAUGUGUGGAGAGCAGAGCAUAUGGAGGUACGUGGAGGCUGAUUAAAGUAUGAGAUGUUUUAUAUACAAAGCAGUAUGUAAGCUGUUUUUAAUGAUAGGGGCCGGGAGAGCUGUAUGUAUAAGGCCUUAAGGAAGAGUCAGAUUGGUUUUUUUCAUGUGUUUUAUCACUUUCUCUGUAUUUCUCUGUUUUUCCUCCACAUCGUUUCUUCAAAA
rnacentral:lncRNA from 1 species